AUAGAUUUACAAUCUAUCGCCUUAUACUCGGCCACCAAACC
rnacentral:tRNA from 1 species